GACGAACGCUGGCGGCGUGCCUAAUACAUGCAAGUAGAACGCUGAAGGAGGAGCUUGCUUCUCUGGAUGAGUUGCGAACGGGGGAGUAACGCGUAGGUAACCUGCCUGGUAGCGGGGGAUAACUAUUGGAAACGAUAGCUAAUACCGCAUAAGAGUAGAUGUUGCAUGACAUUUGCUUAAAAGGUGCAAUGGCAUCACUACCAGAUGGACCUGCGUUGUAUUAGCUAGUUGGUGGGGUAACGGCUUACCAAGGCGACGAUACAUAGCCGACCUGAGAGGGUGAUCGGCCACACUGGGACUGAGACACGGCCCAGACUCCUACGGGAGGCAGCAGUAGGGAAUCUUCGGCAAUGGACGGAAGUCUGACCGAGCAACGCCGCGUGAGUGAAGAAGGUUUUCGGAUCGUAAAGCUCUGUUGUAAGAGAAGGACGAGUGUGAGAGUGGAAAGUUCACACUGUGACGGUAUCUUACCAGAAAGGGACGGCUAACUACGUG
rnacentral:rRNA from 1 species